GUCCGCCAGAAAAUUACGGGCGAAAGCCUAAAACUCAAAAGACUUGACGGUGUUCCAAUCUCCCUAGAGGAGCCUGUUCCAUAAUCGACAACCCACGAUAUACCUUACCACCCUUUGAACACUCAGCCUAUAUACCGCCGUCGCACAGCCUACCUUUAAAAGGAUACAAGUAGGCCAAAUAGUAAUAUACUAAUAAGUCAGGUCAAGGUGUAGCCAAUGGGGUGGAGGAAAUGGGCUACAUUGUUUAUAUUAAAACACACGAACUUACUUCCCUGAAAAAAGAAAACAAAGGCGGAUUUAGCAGUAAUUUAAACAAGAAUAUUUAAGUUAA
rnacentral:rRNA from 1 species